GGGGCACUAUGGGGCACUAUGGGACGCUAUGGGGCAGUCUCUAUGGGGCGCUAUGGGGCGCUAUGGGGCUACGCCCGCAGACAGGCCUCCACACAUUCACUAUGGGGCUCUAUGGGGCUCUAUGGGGCUCUAUGGGGCGCUAUGGGGCAGUGUCUAUGGGGCAGUGUCUACAGGGCGCUAUGGGGCUACGCCGAUAGGCCUCCAAGCGCUCGCUAUGGGGCGCUAUGGGGCUCUAUGGGGCGCUAUGGGGCAGUCUCUAUGGGGCUCUAUGGGGCGCUAUGGGGCUACGCCCGCAGAUAGGCCUCCAAGCGCUCUCUAUGGGGUGCUAUGGGGCUCUAUGGGGUGCUAUGGGGCUCAACGGCCGCUAUGGGGCUCUAUGGGGCGCUAUAGGGCGCUAUGGGGCACUCUCUAUGGGGCGCUAUGGGGCUCGACGGCCGCUAUGGGGCUCUAUGGGGCACUAUGGGGCUUUAUGGGACUCUAUGGGGCGCUAUGGGGCAGUUUCUAUGGGGCGCUAUGGGGCUACGCCCGCAGAUAGGCCUCCAAGCGCUCGCUAUGGGGUGCUAUGGGGCUCUAUGGGGUGCUAUGGGGCUCAACGGCCGCUAUGGGGCUCUAUGGGGCACUUUGGGGCGCUAUGGGGCGCUAUGGGGCACUCUCUACGGGGCGCUAUGGAGCUCUAUGGGGCGCUAUGGGACUCUAUGGGGCGCUGUGGGGCAGUGUCCAUGGGGCGCUAUGGGGCUACGCCCGCAGAUAGGCCUCCAAGCGCUCACUAUGGGGCUCUAUGGGGCUCUAUGGGGCACUGUGGGGUUCUAUGGGGUGCUAUGGGGAGCUAUGGGGCAGUGUCCAUGGGGCGCUAUGGGGCUACGCCCGCAGAUAGGCCUCCAAGCGCUCACUAUGGGGCUCUAUGGGGCACUAUGGGGUUCUAUGGGGUGCUAUGGGGCGCUAUGGGGCAGUGUGUAUGGGGUGCUAUGGGGCUACGCCCGCAGAUAGGCCUCCAAGCGCUCACUAUGGGGCUCUAUGGGGCGCUAUGGGGCACUAUGGGGUUCUAUGGGGUGCUAUGGGGCGCUAUGGGGCAGUGUCCAUGGGGCGCUAUGGGGCUACGCCCGCAGAUAGGCCUCCAAGCGCUCACUAUGGGGCUCUAUGAGACACUAUGGGGUUCUAUGGGGUGCUAUGGGGCGCUAUGGGGCAGUGUCCAUGGGGCGCUAUGGGGCUACGCCCGCAGAUAGGCCUCCAAGCGCUCACUAUGGGGCUCUAUGGGGCUCUAUGAGGCACUAUGGGGUUCUAUGGGGUGCUAUGGGGCGCUAUGGGGCAGGGUCUAUGGGGCGCUAUGGGGCUACGCCCGCAGAUAGGCCUCCAAGCGUUCGCUAUGGGGCAGCCGCCCCCACCGCGCCAACAGCCGCAGCGCCGCCGCCAACAGCUUCGUACUGAGAGCCUCCAACCUAUGGGGGGGGGGGGCAGAAUGUGGGGCGCCGUGGGGCAGAGAUGUGGGGCAGCCGCCCCCCAUCUCACCCCAUAGAUUCC
ensembl:lncRNA